UUAGGUUCGGAAUAGCUCCUGGAAACGGGUGGUAAUGCCGAAUGUGCCCUUCGGGGGAAAGAUUUAUCGCCUUUAGAGCGGCCCGCGUCUGAUUAGCUAGUUGGUGAGGUAAUGGCUCACCAAGGCGACGAUCAGUAGCUGGUCUGAGAGGAUGACCAGCCACAUUGGGACUGAGACACGGCCCAAACUCCUACGGGAGGCAGCAGUGGGGAAUCUUGCGCAAUGGGCGAAAGCCUGACGCAGCCAUGCCGCGUGAAUGAUGAAGGUCUUAGGAUUGUAAAAUUCUUUCACCGGGGACGAUAAUGACGGUACCCGGAGAAGAAGCCCCGGCUAACUUCGUGCCAGCAGCCGCGGUAAUACGAAGGGGGCUAGCGUUGCUCGGAAUUACUGGGCGUAAAGGGCGCGUAGGCGGACAUUUAAGUCAGGGGUGAAAUCCCAGAGCUCAACUCUGGAACUGCCUUUGAUACUGGGUGUCUUGAGUGUGAGAGAGGUAUGUGGAACUCCGAGUGUAGAGGUGAAAUUCGUAGAUAUUCGGAAGAACACCAGUGGCGAAGGCGACAUACUGGCUCAUUACUGACGCUGAGGCGCGAAAGCGUGGGGAGCAAACAGGAUUAGAUACCCUGGUAGUCCACGCCGUAAACGAUGAUUGCUAGUUGUCGGGCUGCAUGCAGUUCGGUGACGCAGCUAACGC
rnacentral:rRNA from 1 species